rnacentral:rRNA from 1 species
UACGUAGGGGCCGAGCGUUGUCCGGAGUUAUUGGGCGUAAAGCGCGCGCAGGCGGCUUGGCGCGCCCGACGUGAAAGCCCCCCGGCUUAACCGGGGAGAGUCGUCGGGGACGGCCGGGCUUGAGGGCGGGAGAGGGUGGUGGAAUUCCGGGUGUAGUGGUGAAAUGCGUAGAGAUCCGGAGGAACCCCAGAGGCGAAGGCGGCGCCCUAGGCCCGACACGUCGACGCUCGAGACACGACAGCAUGG